GCUUACGGCCACACCGGCCUGAGUACUUCUGAUCUCGUCCGAUCUCGGAAGCUAAGCAGGGUCGGGCCUGGUUAGUACUUGGAUGGGAGACCGCCUGGGAAUACCAGGUGCUGUAAGCU
ensembl:rRNA 5S_rRNA 5S ribosomal RNA